CGGGUGCUUGCACCUGGUGGCGAGUGGCGAACGGGUGAGUAAUACAUCGGAACAUGUCCUGUAGUGGGGGAUAGCCCGGCGAAAGCCGGAUUAAUACCGCAUACGAUCUACGGAUGAAAGCGGGGGACCUUCGGGCCUCGCGCUAUAGGGUUGGCCGAUGGCUGAUUAGCUAGUUGGUGGGGUAAAGGCCUACCAAGGCGACGAUCAGUAGCUGGUCUGAGAGGACGACCAGCCACACUGGGACUGAGACACGGCCCAGACUCCUACGGGAGGCAGCAGUGGGGAAUUUUGGACAAUGGGCGAAAGCCUGAUCCAGCAAUGCCGCGUGUGUGAAGAAGGCCUUCGGGUUGUAAAGCACUUUUGUCCGGAAAGAAAUCCUUGGCUCUAAUACAGUCGGGGGAUGACGGUACCGGAAGAAUAAGCACCGGCUAACUACGUGCCAGCAGCCGCGGUAAUACGUACGGUGCGAGCGUUAAUCGGAAUUACUGGGCGUAAAGCGUGCGCAGGCGGUUUGCUAAGACCGAUGUGAAAUCCCCGGGCUCAACCUGGGAACUGCAUUGGUGACUGGCAGGCUAGAGUAUGGCAGAGGGGGGUAGAAUUCCACGUGUAGCAGUGAAAUGCGUAGAGAUGUGGAGGAAUACCGAUGGCGAAAGCAGCCCCCUGGGCCAAUACUGACGCUCAUGCACGAAAGCGUGGGGAGCAAACAGGAUUAGAUACCCUGGUAGUCCACGCCCUAAACGAUGUCAACUAGUUGUUGGGGAUUCAUUUCCUUAGUAACGUAGCUAACGCGUGAAGUUGACCGCCUGGGGAGUACGGUCGCAAGAUUAAAACUCAAAGGAAUUGACGGGGACCCGCACAAGCGGUGGAUGAUGUGGAUUAAUUCGAUGCAACGCGAAAAACCUUACCUACCCUUGACAUGGUCGGAAUCCCGCUGAGAGGUGGGAGUGCUCGAAAGAGAACCGGCGCACAGGUGCUGCAUGGCUGUCGUCAGCUCGUGCCGUGAGAUGUUGGGUUAAGUCCCGCAACGAGCGCAACCCUUGUCCUUAGUUGCUACGCAAGAGCACUCUAAGGGAGACUGCCGGUGAACAAACCGGAAGGAAGGUGGGGGAUGACCGUCAAGUCCUCAUGGCCCUUAUGGGUAGGGCUUCACACGUCAUACAAUGGUCGGAACAGAGGGUUGCCAACCCGCGAGGGGGAGCUAAUCCCAGAAAACCGAUCGUAGUCCGGAUUGCACUCUGCAACUCGAGUGCAUGGAGCUGGAAUCGCUAGUAAUCGCGGAUCAGCAUGCCGCGGUGAAUACGUUCCCGGGUCUUGUACACACCGCCCGUCACACCAUGGGAGUGGGUUUUACCAGAAGUGGC
rnacentral:rRNA from 1 species